CCUACGGGGGGCAGCAGUGAGGAAUAUUGGUCAAUGGCCGAGAGGCUGAACCAGCCAAGUCGCGUGAGGGAAGACGGCCCUACGGGUUGUAAACCUCUUUUGUCGGGGAGCAAAGCGUACCACGCGUGGCUCCUUGAGUGUACCCGAAGAAAAAGCAUCGGCUAACUCCGUGCCAGCAGCCGCGGUAAUACGGAGGAUGCGAGCGGUAUCCGGAUUUAGUGGGUUUAAAGGGUGCGCAGGCGGAGGUGCAAGUCAGCGGUCAAAUUGCGGGGCUCAACCCCGGACUGCCGUUGAAACUGCAAGCCUUGAGUGGGCGAGAAGUAUGCGGAAUGCGUGGUGUAGCGGUGAAAUGCAUAGAUAUCACGCAGAACUCCGAUUGCGAAGGCAGCAUACCGGCGCGAAACUGACGCUCAUGCACGAAAGCGUGGGUAUCGAACAGGAUUAGAUACCCUUGUAGUC
rnacentral:rRNA from 1 species